rnacentral:rRNA from 1 species
AUUGAACGCUGGCGGCAGGCCUAACACAUGCAAGUCGAACGGUAACAGGAAGAAUCUUGCUUCUUUGCUGACGAGUGGCGGACGGGUGAGUAAUGUCUGGGAAACUGCCUGAUGGAGGGGGAUAACUACUGGAAACGGUAGCUAAUACCGCAUAACGUCGCAAGACCAAAGAGGGGGCCCUUCGGGCGUCUUGCCAUCGGGUGUGCGCAGAUUAGAUGAGCUAGUAGGUGGGGUAACGGCUGACCUAGGCGGCGAACCCUAGCUGGUCCGAGGGCAAGACCACACACCUGGGAACUGAGACACGGUCCAGACUCCUGCGGUGGGCCGCAGUGGAGACUAUUACGCAAUGGGCGCGAGCGUGAUGCAGCCAAGCCGCGUGUAUGAAGAAGGCGUCCGGGUUGUAGAGUACUGUCAGCGGGGAGGAAGGGAGUAAAGUUAAUACCGGUGCACAUUGACGGUACCCGCAGAAGAAGCACCGGCUAACUCCGUG